UUUUCUUCCUUUUUCUUCUUCGUGAAAUAGCCGAACUCGGGUACCCCCUCUCUCGGUCGCCCCGCCGGCCUGCUCGCUGGCUCUCACCACCGAGGCCGCCGUCGUCAUCACACCGGUGAGUCUGCCAUCGUCAUCACGCCGGUGAGUCCGCCGUUCACUGAUUCUCUCUCAUGGACAAAGCCCACGCGGCCUCCCUCCUCUUGUUCUAGCAACAACUCCUUAUGCCCUGCCCCCUGGCCGCCUCCGGCUCCUUGCCGGCCUCCUCUCCCUCCCUGGAACGCUUCCCGCCACCGGAACAUGCCCUAUGCUACCUAUUAUCAUGCGAAGGCUCUUCCCUCUCACGAUUUUUUGUCAUGGACGAAACCCUAGGUGGGGGAACCCCGCCGGUCUCUCUCUCCUUCUCAUGGGGAGACCCUGACACCAGCGGCGGACCUCCUAUCUCGUCUUAGCUCGGACUACAUGCAAGGAGACAGUGGGAUCACGACGUACAGAGAUCCGAAACUCCAAUCUCUAUUCUUCUUUCGCAUUGCUCCUACCCAAAACCUAGGAAGUAGAUGUAGCGAGGUCAAAUCUGGAUGAGUUUAUUGCAACGCAUUCUCAUACACUUUUCCAUGAUUACUUGUGAGAUAAAUUUGGGGAUGCUUAGAACCGAAGCCCUCAUCAGCGUUCAACUCUUCCCGCAAAGGGAGUCAUAUCAACAAGGGGGAUCUCUAAUGAUUUAAAGCCAACCAUUUGCUUGCAGGUGCUGUUAAGCUCUCCUCACACCUAGCAUGGUCUACCACGCUACAUGUAGAUAGCUUUUUUCUUACAUGAUUUUCAUGCAGGUCGAGUCAUUUUUUGACUUUACGAUGUACUUUUUAGAGCCCUUAGGAGAGUUCUGUAGCGGUAAUAAGAUACGAACAUGAGUUUCGAGGCGCUUGAGUCGUGGAACCACAUGACGGGGAACAUGAGCAGAUGCUCGUAUCUCGUAUCUUAAUUCCACAUUCUCUUUGAUGUAUAACAUUUAGGACUAGGUUUGUAUAUAUGAUGCCCGACUUUCUUUUUUGCUUUCUGGAAUAUAUUGCCGACCUAGCAACACUGGGUCGGUUAUUUUUUAUU